rnacentral:misc_RNA from 1 species
GAACGCACCUUGCGCUUCUUGGCAUUCCGAGGAGCAUGCCUGUUUGAGUGUCAUUAAAUCCUCAACCCCAUCUUCCUUGUGAAGUGGUCAGUUGGACUUUGGGAGCUGCUGGCUAUGUGUCAGCUCUUCUGAAAUAGAUUAGCAGGGACCUUAUGUGCUGGACUGCAGCUCGGUAUUGAUAGUUGUCUUACCAGGUUGACAGUUAGGCAUUCACUCUGCUCACAGCCGUCUCUAGUUGAGACAAGUGACUUGACGAUUUGACCUCAAAUCAGGUAGGACUACCCGCUGAACUUA